CGGUACAAGAUAAAUGCGAUGCUGUGAAAAUAAAACCAUGGAAGGCUGCAAACACUCAGCCUCAGCGGAGAUGACAACCAUAAAAGUAUCUUCGGUAGAGAGCAAUAUAUGACCCUGGUCACACAGGAUGUGGUGAGAAGACGACUGAACCUCACGUGGUGCGUUUCUGACCUGUCUUCACUGAGACUCAAGCUGUAACUUCUGCUGUGACGCUGCAGUUUUCAAAAGGAACUUUGAAAUUUUUGAAGCCAAGCUGCGAAAUUAUGGCCAAGAUGCUCCUUGACUAAUGGCGAAACACAUGCAAGACAAGUGGAGGAAAGGACAGGCAUGACAUUGUGAACAACUGCACAGUGGGGGAGAGGUAGAACCGCAAAUGAACCACAAAUGAACCGCAGCAGGUAGACUGCAUCCAGGCAGCACAACACCGGCAGCAAUAGGAACUUACUGAGGGAAAUGCUUAGCAAACAACGUAAGUUAUUUUUAGUUACCCAGAAAGCAAAAUUAAGUCACGCUGAAAUUACAAACAGCGAUGAGAAAAAGUAACAACGAAAGGAUAUUAAGAACGAGAGAAGAUGCACUGUGGACUCCAUAUGAUUCCAGUAACACCUUUUGUUUUACAACUUAACGCAUUAAAAGAGACAGCGCUGUUUAGGCUGAUUUACAGCAAGCCUACGGUCCAUCUGCUUUGGAGAGCCAAGACACUAAAUAUAAUUUUAAAAUUAAACAG